GUUGGGCAUGGUGGUGCAUGCCUGUAAUCCCAGUGACUCAAGAGACUAAGGCAGGAGAAUCACAAGUUGAGACCAGCCUCAGCAACUUAAUAAGGCUCUAGGCAAUUUAGUGAGACCCUGUCUCAA
rnacentral:sRNA from 1 species